rnacentral:rRNA from 1 species
GGGGGGGGGGGGGGGUGGGCCGAGGACAUGCGAGUCGAACGGCAGCACAGUAAGAGCUUGCUCUUACGGGUGGCGAGUGGCGGACGGGUGAGGAAUACAUCGGAAUCUACUUUUUCGUGGGGGAUAACGGAGGGAAACUUACGCUAAUACCGCAUACGACCUACGGGUGAAAGCAGGGGAUCUUCGGACCUUGCGCGAUUGAAUGAGCCGAUGUCGGAUUAGCUAGUUGGCGGGGUAAAGGCCCACCAAGGCGACGAUCCGUAGCUGGUCUGAGAGGAUGAUCAGCCACACUGGAACUGAGACACGGUCCAGACUCCUACGGGAGGCAGCAGUGGGGAAUAUUGGACAAUGGGCGCAAGCCUGAUCCAGCCAUACCGCGUGGGUGAAGAAGGCCUUCGGGUUGUAAAGCCCUUUUGUUGGGAAAGAAAAGCAGCAGGUUAAUACCCCGCUGUUCUGACGGUACCCAAAGAAUAAGCACCGGCUAACUUCGUG